AGAUGUUACUAAAUGACACACUUGUUCACCAAACAACCCAAUGUUUUUAACAACAACAGCUUCAAAUGACACCCUUAAUCACCAAAAACGACUUCAAAUCCCUUCUAACUUUCUGUCAAUUUCCCUUUGGAUUCUGUUAAAUCCAACUAGUAUCGAUUCUUCUAGAAGCUCCAACAUUCAUCUGAGAAAUUCGAUGAAUUUUCAUCGAUUUUGUACUAUGAAGGUUCGGUGUUGUGCAAUUUCUAUUGAGGAAAAAAAUGGCUACGAAUUUGACCCAAAAUUAGUCCAAAUUCAUUGAUUCCAUAGCUGUCAAAUACAAUUCUUAUCCACAAAUUUUGAAAUUCAUAAUUUUCUAAUUAUUUACCCGUUUUGUCCGACCAUUUUCCCUUCAUUUUCAUUCCCAAUUCCUCUAUAAAUAGAGAGUGUGGGUUGAGGGUUGAGAGGAAAAUUUUUUGGGGGAAGUUUGGAAAUUUUGGAAGAGGAUUCCUCUACUCCCACAUUACGUAACAAAAAAUUCAUAGUGAAAUCCACUCAAAUCCGAUUGAAAUCACAUUAUUCCGAUGAGACAUUUGAAUCCCGAUGAAAAACAGCUCGUUGGAAUUUAGCGAAGUCUGUUCCGUGAGCUCGUCGAUCCCAGUUCCUACUCCUAAUAAGUCUUGACAGGUUGCACCAGGGAUUAACUCUUAGUCCAUUUUUAUUCGUUUUGGUGAUUGAUGUGCUGACGCGGAUUAUACAAGGCGAGGUGCCUUGAUGUAUGCUUUUCGCGGAUGAUAUAGUUUUGAUUGAUGAAUCGCGACAAGGGAUUGAUGAUAUGCUGGAGAUUUGGAGAGAAACCCUAGAGUCUAAAGGUUUUCGGUUGAGUAGGACCAAGACGGAGUACUUGAAGUGCAAGUUUAAUGACUCGAGACAUAAGGAGGAGGUGGUAAUAAAGUUGGAUUCUCAGGUGGUUUAAAAGAGGGAUAGUUUUAAGUAUCUUGGAUCUACGAUUCAGGGGAAUGGAGAGAUAGAUGAGGAUGUCUUUCACCGUAUUGGGGCAGAUUGGAUGAAAUGGAGGCUCGCUUUUGGAAUUUUAUGCGAUAAGAAGGUGCCCCAAGCUUAAAGACAAAUUCUAUAGAGUAGCAGUCCGGCCUGCUAUGUUGUAUGAAGCGGAGUGUUGGCCAGUUAAGAAUUCUCAUAUCCAAAAGUUGAAAGUGAUGGAAAUGAGAAUGUUGCGUUGGAUGUGUGAAUUCACAAGGGCGGAUAAGGUUAGGAAUGAAAUUAUUUGGGAGAAGAUGAGAGUGGUUUCAGUGGAGAAUAAAAUGCGGGAAGUGAGAUUGAGAUAGUUUGAUCGUGUGAUAAGGAGGGACACGGAUGCCCCAGUUCGUAGGUGUGAGAGGUUGGCCUUGGAAGGUUUCAAGCGGAGUAGGGGUAGAUCGAAGAAAUAUUGGAGAGAAGUGAUUAGACAUGACAUGGAGCAGUUACAGCUGACUGAGGACAUGACCCUGGAUAGGAAGAUAAGGAGGAAAACAUUAGGAUAGAGGGCUAAGGGUGUGGUUGAGUUGUAAUCAGUAGGUAGGGGAAUUGUGGUGUCCUUUGUUUGACAGUGUACUUUUUCGUGGAUGUCGUAUCUAUGUUAUUUUAUCAUGUUCUA